rnacentral:lncRNA from 1 species
UCCAUAAUCCUUAGUUUAUGUGGGUUACUUUAACACUUAAUAUUUCAUUCAAUUUUAAAUGGUUUUCGAUAAAUAAAUAUAUCACGUUAAUCAUCUCGCGAAGUAGAACGUGAAUAUGCUAGAUCCCGUAUUAUUUAAAAGGUGGGUCCCACUGAAAUUUGGGCUCAAAGUUGACCCAUUAAACCAUUUUUUCCAACAUGUAUAACUUCUGAGUGAUUAUUCGUUUGAGAUGAGCCCUUUAUACUUUCUCUUUCACAGCCUCAAAGAAUGGGGGGAAAUGGCACUUACUAAUAUGCUGAUAUGCUCGAUGAGUGCCACUAAUUUUAACUCUCAUAAUUUCAUUUGGCAUCAAGAUCAACAUUUCAAAGACGACUGAAUCCCAUAUAGUUCGUUUAAGCCCGUCUUGCGGGCUGAUACGCAUUGAACACCCUACUCUUAGAACCUGGGUUUUAAAGGUGAUUCUAUUCUAUCCAAGAUCCUCCCUUUAGAAACCAGUUUUAAGAGCUGUUCUUGCAAAAGUUUCCUUCCCUUAACUCAAUUGACAACCCACAUUCAAAAAUCAUUUCUUAAACGACCAUUCACUCAAAACUUCAAUCAAAACAAAUUAUAAUUCGAAACACAAAACUGAACUAAAAAAUUUUAAUAACAAUAAUAAUUAUUACUCCAACAAUAACGAAUACCUGUUUUUCUUUUCUCUUCAAGAUUUUCACAUGGCAUUUUUUGAUAUAAUGAAACAAAUGGUACCGCGAGUGCCUGGAGUAUAACUGGUCUCUGAUUUCUGGGUUUGCAGUCAACCAAUCUAAAACAUCUUUGGACUUAAUUACCUCGUCCGUCUCCAGUGAUUCUAGCCAGGAGUAAACCGGCAUCCAUUGGUCCGUUCGCUGAAAUCUAUGAUCAUACAUAUUUUCCUGCAGGCAGUAAAAGAUUACUACAAUAGUUUCUUGAAAGGGCAACGGAUUCAGGAAUUGAAAUUGAAAUAUAUAAACAAUUGGGGAAUAAAGGACGACUGGGAAAGUUGUAAAUGAUAGCGGCAGUCCGUUGGGUGGUUAGGUUAGGGGAAAAGGGAAAGCAAAAAUUAUCUGGGGAAAU